UAGGGUCCAGCAGGGAAAAGAAUUGCUGCUCUACUGGUCCUUGCCAGAGUUGACACCCUCUUGCAGGUGGAUCAGGCCAGGCUCAAAAGGGCAAAGGUUUCCCGACUCUUUCCUUGGAGUUGCCCGACCUUGACUUCAGUUCCCCUGCUCCUCUCAGAUUCUGGUGUUUCUCCCUGGUCCGGAUCACGGCCCUGACUCCUGAUUCUUCCGGUUUCGACUUCCCUUUUCAUAGAUUUCGGAGGGGAGAGCCGCGAUGUCUUGGUUCUUGGGGGAGGGGGAGGGGUUAGAGGCUCUCGAGGUCUUUUUGCCCCCGGCUGACCGCAGCAUCGCACUCGGGCGCCACCAAGUGUCCUAUAACCAGCACUGCAGCGUCAGGUCCAAGUCUUUUUCCGCUCCGGGCGCGCAGCUACGGAUUUAGCGUAAAGGUGACCUCGGAACCACCCUGAAGUCAAGCAGCUAGAAGUCUCUGGGAACAAGAGACCUGACCGAAAUGAUCUCCAGGAGCGGGGAAUCCGCACUCUGCGUGCAGAAGCCGAGUCCUCCGGGCCCUGCACUGCGGGCGCUGGGUGGUCAGUUCCGUGAUCGGCCUGCCGCCAUCUCAGGCUUGUAGCAGUUUCGCGUUUGCCCGGGGCCUUCUAGGAGUAGUUGGUCCGGACUUUCACGUUUGAAGUUCAAGAGAAACUCAACAGGUCAUUGCUGACUUUGAAGAUGAAGGAGGCCACCAGCCAUGGAAUGUGGACAUUCACUAGAAACUGAGGACUGCUGGCUGACAGCCUUCAAGGAAAGGAGACCCCAGUCCUACAACUGCAUGAAACUGAAUCCUGCCAACAAUCUGAAUGAGUUUGAAAGCUAAUUCUCUCCUAGAGCCUGCAGUAAGGACCCCAGCCCUAGGACACCUUCAUGUAAGCCUGGUGAGACUGUUGUUGUUUUCAUCUUGCAUAAGGUGACACAGUCACAUAGUAACUAAAAUGGGUGUACAGUGGAGAGUUUCCUGCACCCUCUCCUCCCUCAUCUCUCCGAUUUCAGCACUACCUCCCUUACUGCCAGUUCUCAGCAUUACCUCCUGAGUUUGUGUUCCUAGUUUCCUGUGUAUUCUCCCUGAUUUUCUUUAUGUGAAUAGAUGUAAAUAUGAACAUCCAUUUUCUUUUUCCUUUCCAGUUGCUAAAAUGUCACAUUCUACACACUACUUUGCAUCCUGCUUUUUUCCACUUUUUAUAUGUUGGAAAUUAACUUGUUAGCACUUCCAGAGCUUUCAAACCAGCAUAAUUAGGAUUAUAUACUAUAUAGAAACAGAGCUUAUUUUCAACUGAGUUGGUCCAGCUAGCCGGAAGUUGAGUCUGAACCUUUAAAUCCAUCCCACCACUGAAAACAAAGUGUACAAGUGGGACUAGAGAGAGGGUGGAAAAUGUCACCUUUAUUUUUCUGUUGUAAUGUGAGUAGAAUCAUAGGAUAUUUCAAAGAGACCUAAAGUAGGGGCUCCAAAGCACAGAGUUGAAAAAAGGAAGUUAUGUUUACAUGAGUUCAAAGAUAGUUUUUAAAAAAUGAGCAUAUUAUUAGACAAUAAGAUAUUUGCAAAUGUUUCCUUUCCAUUUAAGGAUUUAAAUUAGAAUUUGCUCAGAGGCUCUCAUGAGACAUACAGGAGACUGUCAUGAGAUGCAGCCCCUUUCUUCUCAAGGGGAAAAGAGAAAUUGAUGUUCUUUCUUAAGCUUUGCUGUAUAAAAGGAGAGAAAUUUUGUCCUCAUUUUGUCAUCACUUUUGUGCUAUCUUGUAUACCUGUAAAUCUGUUAAUUCUUACUCAAUAAAAUGUAUUUUCUCUCUUUCUUCUA